rnacentral:rRNA from 1 species
UACGAGGGGGGCAAGCGUUGUUCGGAAUUAUUGGGCGUAAAGGGCGCGUAGGCGGGCCGCCAAGUCUGGAGUGAAAGCCCACGGCUCAACCGUGGAAGCGCUUCGGAUACUGGCGGCCUCGAGGGGUGCAGGGGCGUGCGGAACUUCCGGUGGAGCGGUGAAAUGCGUAGAUAUCGGAAGGAACACCGGUGGCGAAGGCGGUCUGCUGGGCAGUUGCUGACACUGAGGCGCGACAGCGUGGGGAGCAAACAGG